UGUGUAGGCGGUUAUUUAAGUUUGGUGUGAAAUCUCCCGGCUCAACCGGGAGGGUGCGCCGAAUACUGAAUGACUUGGAGUGCGGGAGAGGAAAGUGGAAUUCCUGGUGUAGCGGUGAAAUGCGUAGAUAUCAGGAGGAACACCGGUGGUGUAGACGGCUUUCUGGACCGUAACUGACGCUGAGACACGAAAGCGUGGGUAAGCAAACAG
rnacentral:rRNA from 1 species